AACGAACGCUGGCGGCGUACUUAACACAUGCAAGUCGGACGAGAAAGGAGACUUCGGUCUCUGAGUAAAGUGGCGUACGGGUGCGUAACACGUAAGUAAUCUACCCCGAACUCUGGGAUAACCCUCCGAAAGGAGGGCUAAUACCAGAUAGGGUCCCCGAGGUGUAGGCUGCGGGGGGAAAACGGGCCUCUGCUUCAUGCUCGUGGUUCGGGAUGAGCUUGCGGCCCAUUAGCUUGUUGGUAGGGUAAUGGCUUACCAAGGCGACGAUGGGUAGCUGGUCUGAGAGGAUGAUCAGCCACACUGGCACUGAGACACGGGCCAGACUCCUACGGGAGGCAGCAGUGGGGAAUUUUGCACAAUGGGCGAAAGCCUGACGCAGUAACGCCGUGUGGAGGAUGAAGGCCUUCGGGUUGUAAACUCCUGUCAGGGGGAACGACGGAGAAAGGGUGAUAAACCCUUUCCUCCAGACGGUACCUCCAAAGGAAGCCCCGGCUAAUUCCGUGC
rnacentral:rRNA from 1 species